GGACGUUUAUGUCGAGUGGAAGUGAACGGCGCGUGGUUCGAGUGCUAAUUUGUGACUUUUUUACUUUCUUGUUUAUUAAAGGGUGUUUGGUGGUGGGGAGGUUAGCGUGGGGUGAAGAUCAUUGACAGUAAUACUGUUUUUAGAGUAAAUAAAUAAGAAACGAAGAAGGCUCUAACGAAAACGCAAAUGAUGUCGAACGUUUGUCCCGCCCUAUCUUCGCAAGAUGGCCACGUUUUUAUCCAAGAAUGGCUGCAAAGCUAAAAAACCGUACUGAAAAUGACAAUUUUAAUAUAUUUCAUGACCACUGGUAAUUUGAAUAGUUUAGUUGCAGAAAAUGGUUAACCUAAUCUAAAAUAAUCAAAGUAAAUUUGGAAAUGCCAAGCAAAACUUCAUGCAACAGGUGCCUUCAAAACUUAGGCCUAUGUAGCUCACAAGCAUGGCAUCUUUUGUAAAAGUGGUUGUUGUAUCAAGGUAAAAAUGGCUAUUAGGGAUAUAUUGACACUAUUAAGACCACAAGUCAUUCUGAGGGAUUAAACGAUAUCGUAAUAUGUGGGACAGGUAAACAAAAGCUAAUACCUACGUAGGCUCAAGGAAGAAAGUGAUUGCAAGUCUAGUACAGACCUGCCGACCGGCGUUGACUAACUUGUCCAAAUUGUUGUGUAUUGUAUUUAACUGAUGACGAAAGCUUCCUCCCCUUAUUGACAUUCGUGUUAGAGAAACGUGACAUGUAUUCCUGAGCAGUAGUCAGUGUAGCUUAAAUGUAAAGAUUAGUCCGUAUAUGCAUAAGGGGCAACUUGGAACGACUCGGUGAUGAAUAUCUGAUGUAGAUACCAGGGCAACAACACUUUGGAAAAUUGUGUUGCGGAUACCAGAGCAACACUUUGGAAAAGCGUAUGUUGGAGAUACCAGAGCAACACUUUGAAAAAGCGUAUGCUGGAGAUACCAGAGCAACACUGAAAAAGCGUAUGUUGGAGAUACCAGAGCAACACUUUGGAAGGGCGUAUGUUGGAGAUACCAGAGCAACACUUUGGAAGGGCGUAUGUUGGAGAUACCAGAGCAACACUUUAGAAAAACGUAUGUUGGAGAUACCAGAGCAACACUUUAGAAAAACGUAUGUUGGAGAUACCAGAGCAACACUUUGGAAGGGCUAAUGUUGGAGAUACCAAAGCAACACUUUCGAAAAGCUUGGUGUGUUGGAGAUACCCGAGCAACACUGGAAAGGCGUAUGUUGGAGAUACCAGAGCAACACUUUGGAAGAGCGUAUGUUGGAGAUACCAGAGCAACAUUUUAGAAAAACGUAUGUUGGAGAUUCCAGAGCAACACUUUGGAAAAGCGUAUAUUGGAGAUACCAGAACAACACUUUGGGAAAGCGUAUGUUGCAGAUACCAGAGCAGCACUUUGGAAGCGCAUAGUUGGAAUACCAAGGGCAACACUUCGGCAGAGCUCUUGUUUUGGAUACUAGGGCAGCGCUGCGGAACCGAAUGACAUCAUGGGAGCACUUCUGCAGCAAGCACUUGUAGGAUGAGGUGCUGCCGCCGAUUUGGUUAUUUGGACCAACUCCAAUAACAAGCUCAGCUGGUGGUAGUUAUUUCAGCUGUACAUCUGCAUCCACUGCAGCUGGAGAUGGUUUCACCUUUGUUCUCCCUGUAUCAGGGAUAGUCUCACAAAACCUGCAGCCGUUGCCAUGUAGUAUAUUAGCUUCCCAAAAUAGGUACUGCUACCACACAGGAUACUACUGCCACAGUAGACACAGGCACUAUUUUAAUCUAGCUUCAUCAACUACUGGAGGAACACGAACAGGUUUUACACUAUUUACAACUAGUGCAACUCCAACUGUAUAUCCAUAUAUGGGCAGUCCUGCAGCUAUCAUGACACAGCUUCAGUAACCGCUGCUCUUUAAGGUGAGAUAUUGUGAUUUGGACCAGCUCCAAGAGCAACUCGAACUGGCAAUAUUUGGGUGAGCUUUCAAUCUGCAUCUACAGCAGCUGGAAGAGGUUUCAAUUCUGCGCCUUCAACUACCAGUCACUGACCACUAGAUCAAGGUUUUUGUUUACAAAACCUGCAUCAGUUGUCAUGAAUUUUAGUUUCCCAAAUGCAAGUACUGCUACCACUCGGGUACUGGAUCUGUGUUUAAUCUAGCUUUAUCUGGAAGAACAGUAACAGGUUUUACAUUAUCUGCAAAAUUUGCUAGUGUAACUCCAACCUUUUAUUCACUGACUGUCAGUCCUGCAGCUGAUACAACUACAACUGUAGUAACUAACGCUCCUCAAGGUGAUUUGGGCCCCUAGUAACAACCUCAGUUGGCAACAUUUGGUUCAGCUCUAAAUCUCCAUCCACAGCACCUGGAAGUGAUUUCACUUCUGCUCUCCUGAGGAUCUUCAGCUACUAGUCACUGACCACUAGAUCAAGGAUAAUGAGUUGUGUAUUAGCUUUUUUUUUUUACAUAAACGUAAUGAACAACCAGCAGCAAGAGCCCUCAGUACCAUCAGGUGCAGCGUCCACGCCAUUGCCGGGUUAGGAUCAAGUCCGUGAGGGUGAACCCACCUAUCAAAACAAAUUAUUUUAAAAUAUAAAACGGAUCUAGUAAGGUGUUACCAUAUAAGGAAUGUUAAAGUGUAAACUUUUAUUAUAUAUUAGUUGAUAGCUUUCUCGGGAAAAGCUAAAAUGUAGGCUUAUAUACUGACUGCGAAUUACUAGACAUGACAGAAGGCUCAUUCACGAAGGUUGUAUUAGUUUAUUGUCCUAGCAAACUUUGCAAAUUUUUACCUUUCAUGUAAUAUCUGUUGCAAAAGCAAGCGUCUUCUUUUGUCUAUAAUGCUUGUGUCUUUAGAAUUUACGCCUAAUAAACAUUUUGCCGAGUCCAUAUCUACAUUCUGUCAGGGUGCCACGAUGGCACAUGGACAAGAAAUUUAGUUUUUGGUUCUGGUAUUUUGUUGUUAACUGGGUUAUUGAAAAUACCUCCAUGAAGUUGUACGAAAUCGGUGUCACAGGUUGGCUUCGUGACUGGAAUCAAACGAUAACAUUUUUAGAGAGACGGGGAUGUAACUUUUGUUGAAACAACGACCUAAUGGUUGGUGAGGUGGCCUGGUCGGUCAGCUUUGCCGAGGGCGAGGUCUCACAAGGCUUGGGAAAAUGAAACCUUGUGCGUGUUGUCCGUAGAUUUUGGCUUCUGGAUUUAGUCACACUCCCACCGCCAGGUCAUGUUUUCAGUUUCUUGCCCCUUUUUUUAUCAUUUUUUUUUUUUUUAAAGUUAGGAAAGUGUUUCUAGCCUGGUAGGAAAGUGUUUCUAGCCUGGUGCACACAUAUUUAGAGUAUGAUAUAAUAGGACUUCUAAGCAUCACUGACUUGUAUUGUUGGUCAAAUAUACAUGUGAUUAUUUGCCUGUAUCAUUACGUGUGAAGUUCUUCACGUGC